GGUCGCGUAUUUCAGUUGGUUCAGAAUCUUGUACUAAUAAUGCAAUUGUCGGCGGUUCGAGCCCGUCCGUGAUCA
rnacentral:tRNA from 1 species